rnacentral:rRNA from 1 species
AACGUAGGAGACAAACGUUAUCCGGAGUUACUGGGCGUAAAGGGCGUGUAGGCGGUCUGUUAAGUCUGGCGUGAAAGCUCUCGGCUAAACCGGGAGAGGUCGUUGGAUACUGGCAGACUAGAGGACGGUAGAGGCGUGUGGAAUUCCGGGUGUAGUGGUGAAAUGCGUAGAGAUCCGGAGGAACACCAGUGGCGAAGGCGACACGCUGGGCCGUACCUGACGCUGAGGAGCGAAAGUGUGGGGAGCGAACAGG